rnacentral:SRP_RNA from 1 species
GCCGGGUGUGGUGGUGCACACCUGUAGUUCCAGCUACUCGGAGGCUGAGGCAGAAGAAUUGCUUGAACCCGGGAGGCAGAGGCUGCAGUGAGCCGAGAUUGCGCGACUGCACUGCAGCCUGGGUGACAGAGCGAGACUCUGUCUCAA